CCUUCGGGAGCUGACGAGUGGCGGACGGGUGAGUAAGGACUGGGAAACUGCCUGAUAGAGGGGGACAACAGCUGGAAACGGGUGGUAAUACCGCAUAAUACCUGAGGGUUAAAGACGCAAGUCGCUAUACAGAUGUGCCCAGUUGGGAUUAGCUAGUAGGUGAGGUAAAGGCUCACCUAGGCGAUGAUCUCUAGCUGGUCUGAGAGGAUGAUCAGCCACAUUGGGACUGAGAAACGGCCCAGACUCCUACGGGAGGCAGCAGUAGGGAAUAUUGGACAAUGGGGGGAACCCUGGAUGCAGCCAUGGCGCGUGUGUGAAGAAGGGCCUUCGGGUUGUAAAGCACUUUCAACAGGGGAGGGAAGAAUGAGGUUACCCUGAGAAGAAGCACCGGCUAACUCCGUGCCAGCAGCCGCGGUAAUACGGAGGGUGCAAGCGUUAAUCGGAAUAACUGGGCGUAAAGGGCAUGCAGGCGGGAUAAAGCAAGUAAGGUGUGAAAUACCCGGGCUCAACCUGGGAACUGCACUUUAAACUACGGAUCUAGAGUAUUGCAGGGGGAGAUGGAAUUCCAGGUGUAGCGGUGGAAUGCGUUAGAUAUCUGGAAGAACGCCGGAGGCGAAGGCGAUCUCCUGGCCAAAUACUGACGCUCAUAUGCGAAAGCGUGGGAAGCCAAACAGGAUUAGAUACCCUGGUAGUCCAUGCUGUAAACGUAUGUCAAUUAGAAGUCUGAACGAUAGUUUGGGUUUCAAAGCAAACGCAUUAAAUUGACCGCCUGGGGACUCACGGCCGCCAAGGUUAAAACUCAAAUGAAUUGACGGGGGCCCGCACAAGCGGUGGAGCAUGUGGUUUAAUUCGACGCAACCCGAAGAACCUUACCUGACCUUGACAUGCAUGGAAUCAC
rnacentral:rRNA from 1 species